rnacentral:rRNA from 1 species
AGUAACGCGUGGGUAACCUGCCUUACACAGGGGGAUAACACCUGGAAACAGGUGCUAAUACCGCAUGAUGCAGCGGGGUCGCAUGAUUUUGCUGCCAAAGAUUUAUCGUCCAAAGAUGAGCUCGCGUCUGAUUAGCCAGUUGGCGGGGUAACGGCCCACCAAAGCGACGAUCAGUAGCCGGACUGAGAGGUUGAACGGCCACAUUGGGACUGAGACACGGCCCAGACUCCUACGGGAGGCAGCAG